GCCAUGCCACCGUUCAGCCAUCCGUACUCACCAGCAUGUUAGGUACGGAAGAGACUUUCCCGAUGAGGGUAUAACUUCAUAUAAGAGGAUAAUGAGCGCAUUCCCAGCAUCGGUGGAUCGACCCUCACUUCAACUGGAUUAGAGAACCCUGAUUAAAGCGAACACUCACCAAGGAUGACGACAGGCUGCGCGGCGGCGCCGUCUGGCCCGCGGUCCAUCUGUUGCAGGGCCUCCUCGAAGGCCUGGCUAAAGGAGUUCUGGAAGCUGGGAACGGGAACGCGGUCGGAUGCGUCGCUCUCACCCUCGCUGUCAGGCACCGGCAGAGCCAGCUGCAUGUCUGACAAAAGAAAAGACAUUCACUUGCUGCUCCCUGGGAUUGAUAUCGGUCAGUGAUACUGAAGCCCUACGUUGAAACCUGCAGUGAGUGACUGAAUACAGGAGCAGAAAGUUACCAUGGUGUUAUAUUUUUGACACAACCAGAAAAUAACUUGUUCUCUUGUCACAGCCAACUUGUUUUUGUCUAGAGCUGGCAUAAUUAACUUGUUAAUUAUCUUGUUUUCACUAGGGGUGUGCGAUAUGAAGAUUUCAGAUCAUGAAUGAUAAAAUAUCUGCACCCUCUGCCUCUAUAGAGACAGUUCUGCUACAGUGCACAUCUAUCAGUUAGUCAUAUGGCUUACACCCGCAUCCAAAGUGGUUUUCUCUGCCAAAUCGUAAAUCCCACUUUCUUCAAUAAGGGUUAGGCUUCCAGGACAACUGUAGUACGGUAUACCGCAAGAGAAUCAUUUUCACCAGCGCAAGUGAGGCAAUCCCUGCUGGUAUUGAUUUGUGUAUGGUCAUGUCCUUAAAGCACACAGAUACGGCAAUAAAGCUAUCCUGAACGGA